UGCGUAGGGGGCUAGCGUUGUCCGGAAUCAUUGGGCGUAAAGCGCGUGUAGGCGGCCCGGUAAGUCCGCUGUGAAAGUCGGGGGCUCAACCCUCGGAUGCCGGUGGAUACUGUCGGGCUCGAGUACGGAAGAGGCGAGUGGAAUUCCUGGUGUAGCGGUGAAAUGCGCAGAUAUCAGGAGGAACACCGAUUGCGAAGGCAGCUCGCUGGGACGUGACUGACGCUGAGACGCGAAAGCGUGGGGAGCAAACAGG
rnacentral:rRNA from 1 species